AUAAAUGUAAUCACUUCUCUGAUCAUGAAAAGGGAGGUGUGUGUUGAUUUGUGGGUCUCUUACUACAACUCCUCUGUGUUUCUGUUCCUAGCGUCCCAGUGCAGUGUCCUCCGGGAAGCGUCUCUAUGCCACUGUGGUGCGUAAACACAGCAUCCUACACAGACAACCCUGCUUCUCCUUCACGGCCUUUGAGGUGUGCAGUGUUCCCUUUAGGUAGUUAUUCCUGGCACCUGUGUUUUCCCAAUUAUCCUGUGUUCAUAAGCCACAGUCCUUUCAGUUUGUGUUUGUUGGUUCUGAACGUCUUUCCCUGUGUUCCAGUGUCUCCUACAUUCCAUGUGUGAUCAUUAAAGAUAGAAGUUAUCUCUGUGUUUCCUCAUUGCUCGCUCCUUGCCUCAAGUGAAAUGUGACAGAAGAAACGACCUAAAACAUUAACCUUCAUGUGUCUACCUUCCGUUUUUGUUUCUGUGUAUUUUCUCUCAGUGUUUUUUCUUUCUGUUGUGCCCAAUGGAUCCCCUUCUUCUCCCCGAGUACCUCCACCUCCUGCUGGAGCAGGGGAGUUGAUUUCUCAAGGAACACACAAGACUGUUCUUGCUCAGAGCUCACACCACCAGCUACCUGGACAACACUAGAAGGGGGAUCUAAUAGACUGGGACUCUGAACUGAAGAUUGAACUGCCCCCUCUCCUCUCUCCGUCAUCCCCGCUGGUCCCGUCCAGCCCUCCUUCAUCCUUGGUUCCCUCGUCCAGCCCCUCAGCCCAUCAUCAUUGCGGUGCGAGCCCCAUGGGACUGCCAUCCUCUAGCGUCACCGGGGUCUGUGUAUCCCUCACCUUCACUUUCAGCCUCCAAGGCCAGGACUCCAUCUUGGCUCAUAGACCAAGUAGCUUCACCUCGGCUCCUAGCACCCUCGCCUACAACGUCACCCAUUGAUCCAUCAGCACCACCAGGCACCCUCGUCUCACUGGCUCUGCCUUGGUCGGGCAUCAAUCGACCAUCACCUCUGGACUCCACUCCUCUGGCUGUGCCUCGUCGCUCGGUCCCACCAGCUCUGUUAGGCUCCUUUUUCCCGCCAGCUCCAGCUUAGUCCUCAGUCGCUCUGGCUCCACUUUGGAUCUCUGGAUCUCCACCUCCGCCACGGUUACCAGGAUCCUCAGCUCCACCCUGGCCCC
rnacentral:lncRNA from 1 species